rnacentral:lncRNA from 1 species
UACCAACCCAUACCUAUCAACUCUCUCUCUCUCUCUCUCUCUCUCUCUCCUUUCACUUGUGCCAAAAUGACCAAACUAUCCCGCGGUGCUAAAGUGGUGUUUGGUUUAUCGAAAACUAUAAAACAUUAAUUUUUUAGAAAAAGUUUUUAAUAAACCGACCGUCCCUGACGCAAGUGGCAAAAGUAUUGAUAGUUGGUACUCGAGAUCUCAAGUUCGAAUUCUAGUCGAUUCAUAUUUAUAAUUAAGUUUAUUUCUAAAUGAAGUAAACGAAACGGGUAGCAUGCUACCUAUUUCUCAAAAAAAAAAAAUUAAAGAAAAAUAUUAUUUUAAUAAUUUUUAUUUUCGAAUAAAAAAUUUAGAAAAUAAAAGUUCAUAAAAUUUG